rnacentral:rRNA from 1 species
ACUCCUACGGGAGGCAGCAGUGGGGAAUAUUGCACAAUGGGGGAAACCCUGAUGCAGCCAUGCCGCGUGUGUGAAGAAGGCCUUGGGUUGUAAAGCACUUUCAGUAGGGAGGAAGGUAGUGUAGUUAACACCUGCACUAUUUGUACGUUACCUACAGAAGAAGCACCGGCUAACUCCGUGCCAGCAGCCGCGGUAAGUACGGAGGGUGCGAGCGUUAAUCGGAAUUACUGGGCGUAAAGCGCAUGCAGGCGGCCUGUUAAGUCAGAUGUGAAACGCCCGGGGUCUUAACCUCGGAAUUGCAUUUGAAACUGGCAGGCUAGAGUCUUGUAGAGGGGUUAGAAUUUCAGGUGUAGCGGUGAAAUGCGUAGAGAUCUAG